AUGGAAGAAGAUCAGGUUAAAUUAGCAGCACUCAUCGCGGAGCUAGAGGAGCCAGUAGGUCUUUGUGACUUGCCAGCAAUUUACCCUCCUAAUACUAAGAGAAAGAAGGGAAGGGCAAUAAAGAAUUUUUCUGAGUGGAUAGAGAAAGAGCCUCCAGUGAAUUGGUCUUUGCUGCAUGACACACAUGGAGCUAGGUAUGGGCACAUGACAACCAAUCUUGCAGAGGUGUAUAACUUCGUGCUGAGAGGGAAUAGAGCAUUGCCACUCACAGCUAUUGUGGAGGCUGUAUUCCAUGGCACUUGGAGAUAUUUCAGAGAAAGGCACGAGUUAGCAAAGAAGCAUAUUGAAGAUAAUCAGAACACAGCUUAUUGUAGCCGUGUCAUGGAAUACAUGGCAAAGAAGAUAGAGAAAGCAAAGAAGCACACUGUCAGACUCAUAGGGAAUCAAGAAAGGAGGUAUGAGGUUCAGCUUCCUACCGAUGGUUUUGGUUCUGGACAUGAGGUGAAGACACACGAGGUAAAAAUUGGAACGGAAUUUUAUCCAACGUGUGAGUGUGCAUGCAACAAACCAAAGUUGUUGCACCUUCCUUGCUCUCAUGUGUUGGCUGCAUAUGGCCAGAUUGAGUUGGAUGCUAUCUCCUUCGUGUCCCCAUACUAUUUAAAAGAGGCAGUGCUCAACACCUGGACAGGCGAGAUGACAGGGUUUAGAGUCGUCGGCAAUUUCAACAAGGUAAACGAUGGUGAGAGAGUAUACAUCCCGCAUCCAGACCUUCGGCGAAUAAGUAAGGGCAGACGAAAGGCCCGUCGCAUCCGGAACGAUAUGGACCAGUCUAAAGCUGGUGGAGCAACCAGACAAUGUUUGUUAUGCGCGGCUUAUGGGAAUAGGAUGAAAUAU
rnacentral:rRNA from 1 species